rnacentral:rRNA from 1 species
CCUACGGGAGGCAGCAGUAGGGAAUCUUCGGCAAUGGGGGCAACCCUGACCGAGCAACGCCGCGUGAGUGAAGAAGGUUUUCGGAUCGUAAAACUCUGUUGUUAGAGAAGAACGUUAAGUAGAGUGGAAAAUUACUUAAGUGACGGUAUCUAACCAGAAAGGGACGGCUAACUACGCGCCAGCAGCCGCGGUAAUACGUAGGUCCCAAGCGUUGUCCGGAUUUAUUGGGCGUAAAGCGAGCGCAGGUGGUUUCUUAAGUCUGAUGUAAAAGGCAGUGGCUCAACCAUUGUGUGCAUUGGAAACUGGGAGACUUGAGUGCAGGAGAGGAGAGUGGAAUUCCAUGUGUAGCGGUGAAAUGCGUAGAUAUAUGGAGGAACACCGGAGGCGAAAGCGGCUCUCUGGCCUGUAACUGACACUGAGGCUCGAAAGCGUGGGGAGCAAACAGGAUUAGAUACCCUUGUAGUC